rnacentral:miRNA from 1 species
GAUGGGAGGGAGGAGUAACAAAAGUGAAAACAAAAACUAAAAACUGAAAUCUAUUUGAAAUUGUUUUCACUUUCAAGUUUUUGUUUUCACUUUUGUUACUCCCCCCGCUCCAAUC